GACGAACGCUGGCGGCGUGCUUAACACAUGCAAGUCGAACGAAAAGAGGGAAAGAGCUUGCUCUUUCCGGAAUUGAGUGGCAAACGGGUGAGUAACACGUAAACAACCUGCCUUCAGGAUGGGGACAACAGACGGAAGCGACUGCUAAUACCGAAUAAGUUCCAAGGGCCGCAUGGCCCAUGGAAGAAAAGGUGGCCUCUACCUGUAAGCUAUCGCCUGAAGAGGGGUUUGCGUCUGAUUAGCUGGUUGGAGGGGUAACGGCCCACCAAGGCGACGAUCAGUAGCCGGUCUGAGAGGAUGAACGGCCACACUGGAACUGAGACACGGUCCAGACUCCUACGGGAGGCAGCAGUGGGGAAUCUUCCGCAAUGGGCGAAAGCCUGACGGAGCAACGCCGCGUGAGUGAUGACGGCCUUCGGGUUGUAAAACUCUGUGAUCCGGGACGAAAAGGCAGAGUGCGAAGAACAAACUGCAUUGACGGUACCGGAAAAGCAAGCCACGGCUAACUACGUG
rnacentral:rRNA from 1 species